GGUGCACCAGGCGCGAAAACUUUACAAUGCGGGAAACCGUGAUAAGGGGACACCGAGUGCCAGCAUCAUAUGCUGGCUGUCCAGGUGUGUAAAAUACACCUGUCAGCAAGGGCCGGGCAAGACCGGUGCCAGCCGCCGCGGUAACACCGGCGGCCCGAGUGGUGAUCGUGAUUAUUGGGUCUAAAGGGUCCGUAGCCGGUUUGGUCAGUCCUCCGGGAAAUCUGACGGCUCAACCGUUAGGCUUUCGGGGGAUACUGCCAGGCUUGGAACCGGGAGAGGUAAGAGGUACUACAGGGGUAGGAGUGAAAUCUUGUAAUCCCUGUGGGACCACCUGUGGCGAAGGCGUCUUACCAGAACGGGUUCGACGGUGAGGGACGAAAGCUGGGGGCACGAACCGGAUUAGAUACCCGGGUAGUCCCAGCCGUAAACGAUGCUCGCUAGGUGUCAGGCAUGGCGCGACCGUGUCUGGUGCCGCAGGGAAGCCGUGAAGCGAGCCACCUGGGAAGUACGGCCGCAAGGCUGAAACUUAAAGGAAUUGGCGGGGGAGCACAAGGGCGAAUUGCG
rnacentral:rRNA from 1 species